GAUCAUUAAUAAGAAAAGGCUUUGCGCCGGGCCCGUCCCGGACAGAGUUCAACCCUUUGUGAAAAACAACCUUCUUUUCGCUUCGGCAGCUCGCGCUCGCGCGGUCAGCCUGCCGGCAGCACCAAAAAUAUCAACCUGUCUCUGUAGAUAAUGUCUGACCAUUCUGAAUUGAAUGAAAAUCAAAACUUUCAACAACGGAUCUCUUGGUUCCCGCAUCGAUGAAGAACGCAGCGAAACGCGAUAGUUAAUGUGAAUUGCAGAAUUCAGUGAAUCAUCGAGUCUUUGAACGCACAUUGCGCCCGUCGGCAUUCCGACGGGCACGUCUGUCUGAGCGUCAUGUCAAAUCUCUGCUGGCCUGGGUUUGCGCCCGGUCAACCGGUACUGAGCUGCGGUCUCCCAACCGGAACCGCGCUUUAAAGUGGCACGCUCUGCGGGUCUGACCGCUUCGAGAACAUAGUAUAAUGCUAUCUGUUCCAGGAGCCGGCUCAGGCAACCGCCUGAACAAAUCUUCUAUUAGGUUUGACCUCAGAUCAGACGAGGAUACCCGCUGAACUUAAGCAUAUCAUA
rnacentral:rRNA from 1 species